CUUGAUGACGCAAAUUUCCGGCGCGGCAGGGCGACAAGGGUGCGUGUGAAGGAGAGCGGGUUUCUCUUUCUCCACGGAUACCGGUGCCAGGGUGGCCAGCAAGCCGCUACACCAUGAAAGAGACGCCGCUGUCAAACUGCGAGCGCCGCUUUCUGCUCCGCGCCAUCGAAGAGAAGAAGCGGCUGGAUGGCAGACAAACCUAUGAUUAUAGGAACAUCAAGAUAUCAUUUGGAACAGACUAUGGCUGCUGUAUUGUGGAACUUGGGAAAACAAGAGUUCUUGGACAGGUUUCCUGUGAACUUGUUUCUCCAAAACUCAAUAGGGCAACAGAAGGUAUUCUUUUUUUUAACCUUGAACUAUCUCAGAUGGCUGCCCCAGCAUUUGAACCUGGCAGGCAGUCAGAUCUCUUGGUGAAGUUGAACCGACUCUUGGAAAGAUGUCUGAGAAAUUCAAAGUGUAUAGACACUGAAUCUCUCUGUGUUGUUGCUGGUGAAAAGGUUUGGCAGAUACGUGUGGACCUACAUUUAUUAAAUCAUGAUGGAAAUAUUAUUGAUGCUGCCAGCAUUGCCGCAAUUGUGGCUUUAUGUCACUUCCGAAGACCUGAUGUCUCGGUCCAAGGAGAUGAAGUAACACUGUAUACACCUGAAGAGCGUGAUCCUGUACCACUGAGCAUCCACCACAUGCCCAUUUGUGUCAGCUUUGCCUUCUUCCAGCAAGGAACAUAUUUAUUGGUGGAUCCCAAUGAGCGUGAAGAACGUGUAAUGGAUGGCUUGCUGGUGAUUGCCAUGAACAAGCAUCGAGAAAUUUGUACCAUCCAGUCCAGUGGUGGGAUAAUGCUACUAAAAGAUCAAGUUUUGAGGUGCAGUAAAAUAGCUGGUGUGAAAGUAGCAGAAAUUACCGAGCUAAUACAGAAAGCUUUGGAGAAUGACCAAAAAGUGAGGAAAGAAGGUGGAAAGUUUGGCUUCGCAGAGUCUAUAGCAAAUCAAAGGAUCACAGCAUUUAAAAUGGAGAAGGCCCCUAUUGACACUUCGGAUGUAGGGGAGAAAGCAGAAGAAAUCAUUGCUGAAGCUGAACCUCCUUCAGAAGUGGUUUCUAACCCUGUGUUAUGGACUCCUGGAACUGCCCAAAUUGGAGAAGGCAUAGAAAACUCCUGGGGUGAUCUCGAAGACUCUGAAAAAGAAGAUGAGGAUGAAGGUGGCAGUGAGGAAGCUGUCAUUCUAGAUAGUGUAAAAAUGGACGCUGGAGUAAUCUCCAAUAUUGGAAGCCAAGAUGCCCCGAUAGUACUCUCAGAUAGUGAAGAAGAAGAAAUGAUCAUUUUAGAGCCAGACAAGAAUCCGAAGAAAAUAAGCCACAUGCAGUGAUUAACAGUAUACGACUGCACUCAAGAGAGCUUUUACCUCCAUCUCCCUAAGAUCUCUUUAAAACUUACCGAAACUACCAUCCAUCGGAUAAUCGAGAGACCCCAGCGGUUUUCUUGUUCCAGGUAAAGUAACAGCUGAGUUAAAAGCCAGGGCAUCUUCACACGCCGAUUUUUUAGAUUCAGCUGGUCUCUUCUGAGUCUUUUCUUCUUCUUCAUCCACAUGAAUGGUGAAUGCAGGCUGUUUACUGUUUGCCUUCCAUGGAGCAACAGUGACACGCUCAUCAUUUACAGGAAUAUCCUUAAGAGGUGCAACCUAGAAAGAAAGAACUGUCUUUGAGCCUGUUAAAUGGAGCUUUGCCUUCUUCCCCUUAAGGGUCUCAGCUUGUGCUUUCACUCUCAAAUAUCUACCAGGAAAAUUAAACUAGGGAAAAGUCCAGGCAAGAAUAGUUUGAGUAGUCAGAGAGAAGGGAUGUAAAAAUUUGUCACAGGCAGAGUUGACACUAGGGUGGAGCAAACAGCAAAUCCGGCUAAAAUGGCGGGAUUUACCAAAAGUAUUUUCUUGUACCCUUUUCUAAAGUAGAAGCAUUCUCUUAACCAGAUGGGGAGGGGAAGGAGAGACCUGGUUGCUUCGCCCCGGAGCAGAGUAAUGCCUGGGGUUAAAAGACAAGCGAAAGCGUGAGCUGGGCAAUGACGACAUUCGCGUUGUAGGGCUUGGUCUGACCCCAAAAUCUACAAAGAUGACCCCAAUAGAUAGGAGAUAAGUAGCACGUGCAGUGUUGGCGGGGGUCAUAUGCUAAAAUGAAUGAAAGAAUCUACCACCGUGGCAUCCCACAAAGCGGAAAAUCUGUGACCAAGGGGACUCCAGACUCGCGCCCUCCUAAAAUACCCAAAGAAUGCUUACUCGUCACCCUCCUCUGCCUGCUAAGCCCAUGCUCGACCUCGCCUGGCCCACCCUCCGACAGAUACCUCGCGUGUCCUUCCUUACCCGUCGCGUCUUGGGUCUCUGCUGCGGCGCUGGACCCCGUGGGUU